rnacentral:rRNA from 1 species
UACAGAGGUCCCGAGCGUUGUUCGGAUUCACUGGGCGUAAGGUGCGUAGGUGGCGAUGAAAGUUCGAUGUGAAAUCUCCGGGCUUAACCCGGAAAAGGCAUUGAAAACUAUGUUGCUUGAGGUUUGGAGGGGGGACUGGAAUUCUUGGUGUAGCAGUGAAAUGCGUAGAUAUCAAGAGGAACACCAGUGGCGAAGGCGGGUCCCUGGACUGGUAUUGACGCUGAGGUGCGAAAGCGUGGGGAGCAAACAGG